rnacentral:sRNA from 1 species
AGUAACUUUGUUAAAUUAUACAUAUUUCAUCAUAUUUACCUUAAUUUAGUUAUCAAAAAGAAAAUAUGAUAUAAU